rnacentral:rRNA from 1 species
GAUCAUGGCUCAGGACGAACGCUGGCGGCGUGCCUAACACAUGCAAGUCGAGCGGGGUCCAUCCGGUAGCAAUACCGGGGAAGACCUAGCGGCGAACGGGUGAGUAACACGUGAGAAACCUGCCCCGAAGUCUGGGAUAACCCGAGGAAACUCGAGCUAAUACCGGAUGUCUUCUUCUGAUCGCAUGGUCGGAUGAAGAAAGAUUUAUCGCUUCGGGAGGGUCUCGCGGCCUAUCAGCUAGUUGGCGGGGUAACGGCCCACCAAGGCGUCGACGGGUAGCUGGUCUGAGAGGACGAUCAGCCACACUGGGACUGAGACACGGCCCAGACUCCUACGGGAGGCAGCAGUGGGGAAUAUUGCGCAAUGGGCGAAAGCCUGACGCAGCAACGCCGCGUGCGGGAUGAAGGCCUUCGGGUUGUAAACCGCUUUCAGUGGGGACGAAUUCAGACGGUACCCACAGAAGAAGCCCCGGCCAACUACGUG